CUACGGGACGCUCCAGUGGGGAAUAUUGCGCAAUGGGGGCAACCCUGACGCAGCAAUGCCGCGUGAGUGAUGAAGGCUCUAGGGUCGUAAAGCUCUGUCGAGAGGAACGAAAACUCGGUGGGAACAAUACCCCAUCGAUCUGACGGUACCUCCAAAGGAAGCACCGGCUAACUCCGUGCCAGCAGCCGCGGUAAUACGGAGGGUGCAAGCGUUGUUCGGAAUUACUGGGCGUAAAGGGCGUGUAGGCGGACAAAGUAGUCGGGUGUGAAAGCCCUCGGCUUAACCGAGGAAUGGCGCUCGAAACCAUUUGUCUUGAGAUCCAGAGGGGAUCGGGGAAUUCCCAGUGUAGAGGUGAAAUUCGUAGAUAUUGGGAAGAACACCGGUGGCGAAGGCGCCGAUCUGGAUGGAUUCUGACGCUGAGACGCGAAAGCGUGGGUAGCAAACAGGAUUAGAUACCCGCGUAGUC
rnacentral:rRNA from 1 species